rnacentral:tRNA from 1 species
GGCGAGGUAGCUCAGCCUGGUUAGAGCGCUACGCUCAUAACGUAGAGGUCGCGGGUUCAGAGCAGUUCUUCGAUAGAGGUUCAGUGGAAGUCCCGCCCUCGCCA